AUCACUAGAUACAGCAAUCACUACUUUAAUCAUAUGAAGACACACUCCAACAGAGGAAUUCAUUCUAAUGCCCCUCUUCAUAAAGAGGACUAUUAUCAGAUACUUGGGAUACCACGGACUGCUGAUGCCAAAGAAAUAAAGAAAGCUUAUUAAAAAUUUUGAUAAAGAGAACAAUAUACUAUUGAUCAUUAAUAGUGAUGAAAUAGUUAAAGGUUACAGGGUAUCAGAAAAGAAGGGGCUUGUGCAAUUGUCUGUUGAUAAAAAUGUAAAGGAUUAUGUUAAUCAUAAUGGAGUGAUGUUUCACCUAACGGCACAAUUUAAAUGCUAUUUACCAUAUAAGGAUUUAACAGAGAGUGUCAUUGUCGAUCGGUUGCAGCAGUUCAUUAGUAGGUGUGUCCUUUGGUUGCCAGGACAACAAGUAUUGCUAGAGGAUGAAAAAGAGAAGCAUAUUGUAUUCACACCAACUGGACUGGACAAACCACCAGUUGUUGUUGAACUACUUCAGAAGAGUCCAUCUUCGUCUGGUCUGUACCCUCUCACUGUUACCAUGACACCAAUGACCACACCCACUUUAGUCCUACCAGUGACCUUUGAUUUGAUUGGUUUAUUCUGCAAUGAUAUCGACACUCGUCUGGUUGCUAAGCAACUGAGAAACAGACUACAGGAACAAAUAAAAUUAAUAGCACAAACCAUCAUGGUUGAUAAAGCUACUAAUGAUCAAGACAUUCAUUCAGUUUUUUUCUUUCAUUUUAACUUACCCAAUCAACAUGUUCCCAUCACUAUCCCAUACCCUGACCUCCCUCUCUCUACUGAUAUCAGGGUCAUUCCUUCUCCUCUUCCAGACUCUUCUCUUCUCUCCCUUCGAACUAAACUCCAUCAAACCUUUUGCCUUCCAACUAAUCGACCGUUUCUACGAAAGACUAACAGACAAUGGUCACCUUGGAAGCAGGAGGCACGCCUGUUUGAUCCACACGUGUCAUUAAAUUUGACAGAAGGUGGCGACGGAUUAGCUUUGGUGAAUGGUAGCUAUCUUUAUUAUCAUUACAUGCAAGAAAAGUUUAAUGACAAGGGUUGGGGCUGUGCUUAUAGAUCCCUCCAGACAAUAUGGUCUUGGUUUCGUUGUCAAGGCUACACUGAUGCACCUGUUCCUACCCACAGGGAGAUACAGCAGACACUGGUUGAUUGUGGAGAUAAAGAGAAACCAUUCAUUGGCUCUUCUGAAUGGAUCGGAUCAAUUGAAGUCAGUACUGUCCUCAGUCACUCAUUACAGAGUCUCGUAUUCAUCACUGCUCAAGAGGAGCUGAUAUCGCCGGUACCGGUCGUCUUUUACAGCAUCAUUUUAGAAACCAGGGCACACCCGUAAUGAUAGGGGGUGGGGUUUUAGCUCAUACCAUAUUAGGAGUUGACUAUGAUGAGCAAUCUGGUGAUAUUAAGUUUUUGAUUCUUGAUCCUCAUUACACUGGCCCUGAGGACAUUAAUUUGAUAAAUGGAAA
rnacentral:misc_RNA from 1 species